UGUGAACUGCAGGACACAUGAACAUCGACAUUUCGAACGCACAUUGCGGCCCUAGGGCUUGUUCCUGGGCCACA
rnacentral:rRNA from 1 species